rnacentral:tRNA from 1 species
GGGCGACUAGCUCAGCCGGUCAGAGCGCCUCGCUUACACCGAGGAGGUCAGAGGUUCGAACCCUCUGUCGCCCACCC